rnacentral:rRNA from 1 species
AUUGAACGCUAGCGGGAUGCUUUACACAUGCAAGUCGAACGAGUGACGGACGUGUGAGUAAUAUAUCGGAACGUUCCCAGUAGCUGGGGAUAACUACUCGAAAGAGUGGCUAAUACCACAUACUAUUGGAGCGGCCGAUACCGGAUUAGCUAGUUGGUGGGGUAAAGGCUCACCAAGGCAACUAUCCGUAGCUGGUUUAAGAGGACGACCAGCCACACUUGGACUGAGACACGGCCCAGACUACUAAGGGAGGCAGCAGUGGGGAAUUUUGGACAAUGGGGGAAACCCUGAUCCAGCAAUCCCGCGUGUAUGAGAAGGCCUUCGGGUUGUAAAGUACUUUUGGCAGAGAAGCGGUAUCUGCAGAAUAAGCACCGGCUAACUACGUGCCAGCAGCCGCGGUAAUUC